GCUGGGUAUGGUGGUGCAUGCCUGUAAUCCCAGCAACUCAGGAGCUGAGGCAGGAGGAUCACAAGUUCAAGCCAGCUUCAG
rnacentral:sRNA from 1 species